AUUGAACGCUGGCGGCAUGCCUUACACAUGCAAGUCGAACGGUAACAGGUCUUCGGAUGCUGACGAGUGGCGAACGGGUGAGUAAUACAUCGGAACGUGCCUAGUAGUGGGGGAUAACUACUCGAAAGAGUGGCUAAUACCGCAUGAGAUCUACGGAUGAAAGCAGGGGAUCGCAAGACCUUGUGCUACUAGAGCGGCCGAUGGCAGAUUAGGUAGUUGGUGGGAUAAAAGCUUACCAAGCCGACGAUCUGUAGCUGGUCUGAGAGGACGAUCAGCCACGCUGGGACUGAGAAACGGCCAGACGCCUACGGGAGGCAGCAGUGGGGAAUUUUGGACAAUGGGCGCAAGCCUGAUCCAGCAAUGCCGCGUGCAGGAUGAAGGCCUUCGGGUUGUAAACUGCUUUUGUACGGAACGAAAAGCCCCGGGUUAAUACCCUGGGGUCAUGACGGUACCGUAAGAAUAAGCACCGGCUAACUACGUGCCAGCAGCCGCCGUAA
rnacentral:rRNA from 1 species